rnacentral:rRNA from 1 species
AAUGGGGGAAACCCUGACGCAGCAACGCCGCGUGGGUGAAGAAGGCCUUCGGGUUGUAAAGCUCUGUCUUCUGGGACGAUAAUGACGGUACCAGAGGAGGAAGCCACGGCUAACUACGUGCCAGCAGCCGCGGUAAUACGUAGGUGGCAAGCGUUGUCCGGAUUUACUGGGCGUAAAGGGAGCGUAGGCGGAUAUUUAAGUCAGAUGUGAAAUACCCGAGCUUAACUUGGGUGCUGCAUUUGAAACUGGAUAUCUGGAGUGCAGGAGAGGAAAGUGGAAUUCCUAGUGUAGCGGUGAAAUGCGUAGAGAUUAGGAAGAACACCAGUGGCGAAGGCGACUUUCUGGACUGUAACUGACGCUGAGGCUCGAAAGCGUGGGGAGCAAA